rnacentral:tRNA from 2 species
GCUGCGGUAUGCUCGAGUAGGGGCUAAAAAGAGCAACGGUUUCCUAAACCGUAGGUCAGGGGUUCGAAUCCCUUCCGGGACGCCA